UACGGAGGGUGCGAGCGUUAAUCGGAAUUACUGGGCGUAAAGGGUACGUAGGCGGUUAGAUCAGUCAGAUGUGAAAUCCCCGGGCUUAACCUGGGAACUGCAUUUGAAACUGUCUAGCUAGAGUGAGUGAGAGGUAAGUGGAAUUCAAGGCGUAGCGGUGAAAUGCGUAGAGGUCUUGAGGAACAUCAGUGGCGAAGGCGACUUACUGGCACUACACUGACGCUGAGGUACGAAAGCGUGGGGAGCGAACAGG
rnacentral:rRNA from 1 species